rnacentral:tRNA from 1 species
CCUCUUGUAGCUUAGUGGUCAGAGCAUUGGCGUUUAAAGCCACGGACGUGGGUUCGAUUCCUAACGAGGGUG